GAAAAAUUAAGAAGACUUGCCCAUAUGUAUGUGAUAAGGGCCAUUCACUUGUAUAUGCCAAAUGGUUUCCAAAGAAACUCUGCCUCCAUAAACACAUACUCAUGUACAUAAACAUAUAAAGUCACACACACACACACACACACACACACACUAUCCUAUUGGACUUGGAAUGCUCAUGAAUUUUAUAUUAUUUUUUUCCCAUAAAAUUUGCAAGAUACAAACCCAUAUGACCUCACAGGAGGUCUAGACAAGAAUCUAGAGAUCUCAGGUUGUUUGAAGCCAUUGUCAGGUCACUACUUCAAAUCAGAACAUACAGGCAUUACUUUUAAGUCCUAAAACCUGGGUCUGAUUCUGGCCGCAUCUGUAUCAUGGUUUCUGAGUCAUGUCCCACUGUGUAUCUGCUCUAGAAAACUACAGAAAUGGAGAAUGACUACACUAGAAUCAGGGCAUGUGAAAGAUGGACAUUGGAGAGAUUCUUAGACAGGAGAUGGGUUAUAUUCCAUUUCCUCUAUGAUCUCAUCUGCCUUACAAAUUGUGGAUUCUUAGAACAUUCCAGAGCUCUGACCUCCUUAGGCUGAUUUGGUGGUAGGAGUUAAAGGGUGGACCAUUGUCCAUAUGGUUGAAGUCAUUUGGGUGUCAGAGAGAGAAGGCCACUUCAAUUAAGGUGCUACAUUUAGGAAAACUUAUCCCUAUGAGGUAAAGACUGAGUCUCUUCUCUAGCAUAUUUGGACCAUUAUGACAUGUCCAACACCAAAAUUACUCACUAGUAGCCCAUUGUAAUGUUGCCAUAGUGACUGUCUCCCAUUAUAAUCAGCAAGAUUAAAAAGACAAUAUCUGUGAAGAUCUCUACGGCUGACAAGUGAGUGCCCGUGGGAGAGAGAAGAAGACCUGCUUCCACAAUGUACUGGGAUGGAGGCAGAUCCUGAGCCCAGAGUCAGCUCUAUGAAUGGUGGCAGGCCAGGGCAAUCUGCUCUAUGAAAAUAGGGAUCUUUUCAGUCUUGUCCAUCUCUGUACCAUCAACAGCUAUCACAAUGCUGGUACAAAAAGAAGCAAAAGAAUGGAGGGAAAGCUCCAAUUUGCCUGCAUGGAGUGUGCUUCCUCUUGUUCAGUUGCUCGUGUUGACGUGGAGCAGCCUAGAGACACCAUCCUGGCUUCUUGCAUCAGCCCACCGUGGCUCCUGGCCUCCAGGGACAUUGCCAAGGAAGCUCCCAGAAGAGGACCUGUGGGCAGAUUCGUGGAGCGCAGAUCUCCAGUAGCCAGAGGAAUAACAGUUUCCCACUGUGGGAAGCCAGGGAGAAAGGCCUCUCUCCGGGUGUCACCCAUGGAUUCCUGGCACCUGCAGCCUGUACAGACAUCAUAGCACUUUGGGGUAUUCAGCUGGGCUCUUCGGUUUGUAUCUGUCACAAUUUGGUUCCUGGGAAUAGGAUUCAGGUGCAAGUAACUUCUUUGGAGACGAUCCCAGGGAACCUCAAGGGGGAAUGGGGACAGGGUGGAAAGGCAAUCAAUGAAUGCUGUGUCAUCAAGCCAGUGGUGGGCACCAGGGCUCCCUCCCCUUGGGGAUUGCCCGGAGCCGCUCCAGAAUGUGCACUGCAGAGUUACCCCAGGGAGCCGUCCCGUGCUCUCGUCAAUCAACUGGUUGGGAGCUAUUCCUUGGGCGGUGGCAGCGGGGGAGGCCUUUUUUCUCUGAAACGUGUGCCCUGCUGAACACGUGGGCAGAACAGACCCUGGAUGCCAGAGAAGGAUCCCGGGUGAGGCACAGAGGACGUUGGAAGGUGGGCCAUUGUGAAGCACGUGAGCCUGAGCGAAUGUGCUUCACUUCCCUGGGCAGUAGCUCAGGGGGUUCUGUCUUUUUCUAGAUUGUACAAAAGUCCCCCCCCCCACUUUCCUGUACUCGCUUCCUGAGGUUUCAGUUACCUGCGGUCAAUCGCCAUUCAGAAACAGAGGUUGUAGGCAGCCCAGGUGGCCCAGCGGGUAAGCGCAGCCUUUGGCCCAGGGCCUAAUCCUGGAGACCCGGGAUCAAGUCCUGCAUCGGGGUCCCGGCAUGAAGCCUGCUUCUCCCUCUGCCUGUGUCUCUGCCUCUCUCUCUCUGUGUCUCUCAUGAAUGAAU
ensembl:lncRNA